rnacentral:rRNA from 1 species
AACGCGAAGAACCUUACCUGGGCUCGAAAUGCAGGAGACCGGGGUAGAAAUAUCCUUUCCCCGCAAGGGGCUGCUGUAUAGGUGCUGCAUGGCUGUCGUCAGCUCGUGUCGUGAGAUGUUGGGUUAAGUCCCGCAACGAGCGCAACCCUCAUCCCUAGUUGCCACCGGGUAAUGCCGAGCACUCUAGUGAAACCGCCCCGGAUAACGGGGAGGAAGGUGGGGAUGACGUCAAGUCCUCAUGGCCUUUAUGUCCAGGGCUACACACGUGCUACAAUGGACGGUACAAAGGGCUGCCAACCCGCGAGGGGGAGCCAAUCCCAAAAAACCGUUCUCAGUUCGGAUUGCAGGCUGCAACUCGCCUGCAUGAAGCUGGAAUCGCUAGUAAUGGCGGAUCAGAACGCCGCCGUGAAUACGUUCCCGGGCCUUGUACACACCGCUCGUC